rnacentral:rRNA from 1 species
AAGUGGGGAUGACGUCAAUCAUCAUGCCCUUUAUGACCUGGGCUACACACGUACUACAAUGGCGCUUAACAGAGGGAAGCGAAGCCGCGAGGUGGAGCAAACCCCAGAAACAGCGUCUCAGUUCAAAUUGCAGGCUGCAACCCGCCUGCAUGAAGUCGGAAUUGCUAGUAAUCGCGAAUCAGCAUGCCGCGGUGAAUACUUUCCCGGGCCUUGUACACACCGCCCGUCACACCAUGAAAGCCGGGGGGACCCGAAGUCCGUAGCCUAACCUUUCAGGAGGGCGCGGCCGAAGGUAAAACUGGUGAUUGGGGUGAAGUCGUACGAGGGUAACUAUAA